UACGUAGGGUGCGAGCGUUGUCCGGAAUUACUGGGCGUAAAGAGCUCGUAGGUGGUUUGUCGCGUUGUCCGUGAAAUUCCCGGGCUUAACCUGGGGGCUGCAUUUGAUACGUGUGAUCUAGAGUGCGGUAGGGGAGACUGGAAUUCCUGGUGUAGCGGUGAAAUGCGCAGAUAUCAGGAGGAACACCGAUGGCGAAGGCAGCUCGCUGGGACGGUACUGACGCUGAGGCGCGAAAGCGUGGGGAGCAAACAGG
rnacentral:rRNA from 1 species